GGCUCGGUGGCUGAAUUUAAGUGGGAGCCUUUUAAGCUUCUUAUGGGUUUCCCCCGGGUGA
rnacentral:tRNA from 1 species